rnacentral:rRNA from 1 species
GACAGCCCCGUACACAAAAGCGCAUGUGCUGUGAGCUCGAUGAGUAGGGCGGGACACGUGGUAUCCUGUCUGAAUAUGGGGGGACCAUCCUCCAAGGCUAAAUACUCCUGACUGACCGAUAGUGAACCAGUACCGUGAGGGAAAGGCGAAAAGAACCCCGGCGAGGGGAGUGAAAAAGAACCUGAAACCGUGUACGUACAAGCAGUGGGAGCACAGGUUUACCUGUGUGACUGCGUACCUUUUGUAUAAUGGGUCAGCGACUUAUAUUCUGUAGCAAGGUUAACCGUAUAGGGGAGCCGGAGGGAAACCGAGUCUUAACCGGGCGUUAAGUUGCAGGGUAUAGACCCGAAACCCGGUGAUCUAGCCAUGGGCAGGUUGAAGGUUGGGUAACACUAACUGGAGGACCGAACCGACUAAUGUUGAAAAAUUAGCGGAUGACCUGUGGCUGGGGGUGAAAGGCCAAUCAAACCGGGAGAUAGCUGGUUCUCCCCGAAAGCUAUUUAGGUAGCGCCUCGUGAAUUCAUCUCCGGGGGUAGAGCACUGUUUCGGCUAGGGGGCCAUCCCGGCUUACCAACCCGAUGCAAACUGCGAAUACCGGAGAAUGUUAUCACGGGAGACACACGGCGGGUGCUAACGUCCGUCGUGAAGAGGGAAACAACCCAGACCGCCAGCUAAGGUCCCAAAGUCAUGGUUAAGUGGGAAACGAUGUGGGAAGGCCCAGACAGCCAGGAUGUUGGCUUAGAAGCAGCCAUCAUUUAAAGAAAGCGUAAUAGCUCACUGGUCGAGUCGGCCUGCGCGGAAGAUGUAACGGGGCUAAACCAUGCACCGAAGCUGCGGCAGCGACACUCAGGUGUUGUUGGGUAGGGGAGCGUUCUGUAAGCCUGUGAAGGUGGCCUGUGAGGGUUGCUGGAGGUAUCAGAAGUGCGAAUGCUGACAUAAGUAACGAUAAAGCGGGUGAAAAGCCCGCUCGCCGGAAGACCAAGGGUUCCUGUCCAACGUUAAUCGGGGCAGGGUGAGUCGACCCCUAAGGCGAGGCCGAAAGGCGUAGUCGAUGGGAAACGGGUUAAUAUUCCCGUACUUGGUGUUACUGCGAAGGGGGGACGGAGAAGGCUAUGUUGGCCGGGCGACGGUUGUCCCGGUUUAAGCGUGUAGGUGUGUGUUCCAGGUAAAUCCGGUUCACUUUAACACUGAGGCGUGACGACGAGGCACUACGGUGCUGAAGCAACAAAUGCCCUGCUUCCAGGAAAAGCCUCUAAGCAUCAGGUAACAUCAAAUCGUACCCCAAACCGACACAGGUGGUCAGGUAGAGAAUACCAAGGCGCUUGAGAGAACUCGGGUGAAGGAACUAGGCAAAAUGGUGCCGUAACUUCGGGAGAAGGCACGCUGACACGUAGGUGAAGUGAUUUACUCAUGGAGCUGAAGUCAGUCGAAGAUACCAGCUGGCUGCAACUGUUUAUUAAAAACACAGCACUGUGCAAACACGAAAGUGGACGUAUACGGUGUGACGCCUGCCCGGUGCCGGAAGGUUAAUUGAUGGGGUCAGCGCAAGCGAAGCUCCUGAACGAAGCCCCGGUAAACGGCGGCCGUAACUAUAACGGUCCUAAGGUAGCGAAAUUCCUUGUCGGGUAAGUUCCGACCUGCACGAAUGGCGUAAUGAUGGCCAGGCUGUCUCCACCCGAGACUCAGUGAAAUUGAACUCGCUGUGAAGAUGCAGUGUACCCGCGGCAAGACGGAAAGACCCCGUGAACCUUUACUAUAGCUUGACACUGAACAUUGAGCCUUGAUGUGUAGGAUAGGUGGGAGGCUUUGAAGUGUGGACGCCAGUCUGCAUGGAGCCGACCUUGAAAUACCACCCUUUAAUGUUUGAUGUUCUAACGUGGACCCGUUACCCGGGUUGCGGACAGUGUCUGGUGGGUAGUUUGACUGGGGCGGUCUCCUCCUAAAGAGUAACGGAGGAGCACGAAGGUUGGCUAAUCCUGGUCGGACAUCAGGAGGUUAGUGCAAUGGCAUAAGCCAGCUUGACNNNNNNNNNNNNNNNNNNNNGCGAGCGUGACGGCGCGAGCAGGUGCGAAAGCAGGUCAUAGUGAUCCGGUGGUUCUGAAUGGAAGGGCCAUCGCUCAACGGAUAAAAGGUACUCCGGGGAUAACAGGCUGAUACCGCCCAAGAGUUCAUAUCGACGGCGGUGUUUGGCACCUCGAUGUCGGCUCAUCACAUCCUGGGGCUGAAGUAGGUCCCAAGGGUAUGGCUGUUCGCCAUUUAAAGUGGUACGCGAGCUGGGUUUAGAACGUCGUGAGACAGUUCGGUCCCUAUCUGCCGUGGGCGCUGGAGAACUGAGGGGGGCUGCUCCUAGUACGAGAGGACCGGAGUGGACGCAUCACUGGUGUUCGGGUUGUCAUGCCAAUGGCACUGCCCGGUAGCUAAAUGCGGAAGAGAUAAGUGCUGAAAGCAUCUAAGCACGAAACUUGCCCCGAGAUGAGUUCUCCCUGAGACUUUAGGUCUCCUGAAGGAACGUUGAAGACGACGACGUUGAUAGGCCGGGUGUGUAAGCGCAGCGAUGCGUUGAGCUAACCGGUACUAAUGAACCGUGAGGCUUAACCUUACAACGCCGAAGAUGUUUUGGCGGAUGAGAGACGAUUUUCAGCACUGAUU